rnacentral:rRNA from 1 species
AGCGGCGGACGGGUGAGUAACGCGUGGGUAACCUACCUCAUACAGGGGGAUAACAGUUGGAAACAGCUGCUAAUACCGCAUAAGCGCACAGUACCGCAUGGUACCGUGUGAAAAACUCCGGUGGUAUGAGAUGGACCCGCGUCUGAUUAGCUAGUUGGUGGGGUAACGGCCUACCAAGGCGACGAUCAGUAGCCGACCUGAGAGGGUGACCGGCCACAUUGGGACUGAGACACGGCCCAA